rnacentral:rRNA from 1 species
AACAAGGUCUCCGUUGGUGAACCAGCGGAGGGAUCAUUAUCGAGUUAUUCAACUCCCAAACCCUAUGUGAACUUACCACUUGUUGCUUCGGCGCGCGCUUCGGCGCCGCCGAGGACACUUAAACUCUUUGUUUUUAUAAGCAUUUCUGAGUGGCCGAAAGGCAAAAAUACAAAUGAAUCAAAACUUUCAACAACGGAUCUCUUGGUUCUGGCAUCGAUGAAGAACGCAGCGAAAUGCGAUAAGUAAUGUGAAUUGCAGAAUUCAGUGAAUCAUCGAAUCUUUGAACGCACAUUGCGCCCGCCAGCAUUCUGGCGGGCAUGCCUGUUCGAGCGUCAUUUCAACCCUCGAGCCCGACUCUUUUGAGGACUGCUCGGCGUUGGGGGACGGCAGACUCCCCCCGGCAUCUCGCCGGGGACGCCGCCCCCGAAAUCUAGUGGCGGCCCUCCGAGGCGACCUCUGCGUAGUAACUUGUUCUCGCACCGGAAAGCUCAGAGCGGCCACGCCGUAAAACCCCAACUUUUUUCAGGUUGACCUCGAAUCAGGUAGGACUACCCGCUGAACUUAAGCAUAUCAAUA